AGAGUAUAGGUAAAGGGUUUUUGAACCAUCGAUGACAGAUUCUAGAUUCCAAUGAUAGAGAUCGAGUUUAGAGCCAGAUUCCAGCGAUAGAGUUAUAAAAUCGCCAGUGUAGCACAAAGCAGGUGAAAGAGCCAAUUUUUUUUGGAGUUUUUUUGACCACCGACGAGGGAUUCCAAAUUCCAGCGUUUAGAGCUUCAUAUUUUAUAAAUCAGGUAUACAUACGUUUUCCUCUUUAGCCCUAUGAAAUCAAUCAUAGAGGGAA